GAUGAACGCUAGCGGCAGGCUUAAUACGUGCAAGUCGAGGGACAGCACAGGUAGCAAUACUGGGUGGUAACCGGCAAACGGGUGCGGAACACGUACACAACCUUCCUUUAAGUGGGGGAUAGCCCAGAGAAAUUUGGAUUAAUACCCCGUAAUAUAGUUGAAUGGCAUCAUUUGAUUAUUAUAGCUACGGCGCUUAAUGAUGGGUGUGCGGGCUGAUUAGAUAGUUGGCGGGGUAACGGCCUACCAAGUCUACGAUCAGUAGCUGAUGUGAGAGCAUGAUCAGCCACACGGGGACUGAGACACGGGCCCGACUCCUACGGGAGGAAGCAGUAAGGAAUAUUGGUCAAUGGACGCAAGUCUGAACCAGCCAUGCCGCGUGAAGGAUUAAGGUCCUCUGGAUUGUAAACUUCUUUUAUUUGGGACGAAAAAGGGUCUUUCUAGGUCAACUGACGGUACCAGAUGAAUAAGCACCGGCUAACUCCGUGCCAGCAGCCGCGGUAA
rnacentral:rRNA from 1 species